rnacentral:rRNA from 1 species
UACGGAGGGUGCAAGCGUUAUCCGGAUUCACUGGGUUUAAAGGGUGCGUAGGCGGGUAAGUAAGUCCGUGGUGAAAUCUCUGAGCUUAACUCAGAAACUGCCGUGGAUACUAUUUGCCUUGAAUAUUGUGGAGGUGAGCGGAAUAUGUCAUGUAGCGGUGAAAUGCUUAGAUAUGAUCAUAGAACACCAAUUGCGAAGGCAGCUACACUGAUUAUGAUCACUGAGGCACGAAAGCGUGGGGAUCAAACAGG